ensembl:lncRNA
GGGACAUGCCGCUGCCGGCACCCCGCUCGCUGGCCGGGCGAGGAGAGGCCGGUCUGGGGUGCGGGCAGGGCGGCGGGCAAACUCCUGGCCCGUAAGCCGAUCAGCAUCCCCGGGAGCAGAUUGGGGCUCGGGCUUAGCGCGCUGACAUCAGGGCGCAUCUGACAAUGCGAUUUGCUCGGGCGGCGCGGCACACAGCGGGGCUGCUGGCGGCGGUGCGGAGAGGGGCUGCCGGCACGGAGCGGGGGGCACUCCGCGUGUGGGAGCUGCAGCGGGCACGGGGCCCGCGAGCGGGGCAACUGCGGCUUCUUAGAGAUGUGCCAAGCACGUAUUUCUAACGGAAGGCACCUAGGCAUUAGACUGGGAGGAGUGACGGGUGCACAAACUGAGUUUCUGCAUUGCCGUAGUUGUUCUGUAACUCUUUUUCACAUGCUAUGGAUUGGCACAUGGGUCCAGGGAGGGAAGACCUACCAGUCAACCCAGUGGGAUACUCCGUUUCUUCACUCAGCUCUUGUGAGGCCACACCUAGAGUACUGUGCACGACUUUGGGCCCCUCACAACAAGAAAUACACUGAGGCUCCGGAGUGUGUCCAGAGAAGGGCAAUGAAGCUGGUCUGGAGCACAAGGAAUGGCUGAGAGAGAUGGGAUUGUUUAGUCUGGAGGAGGGUCAGGGGAGACCUCAUCACUCACUACAGCUCUCUGAAGGGAGGCUAUGGCCAGGUGGGGGUCAGCCUUUUCUUCCAUUCAUUCCAGAAUGACAGGGAAUGGCUUUAAGUUGCAGCAGUUCAGGUUGGAUAUGAGGAAAAAUUUAUUCUCCGGAAGAGUGGUGAGAUGUUGGAACAGGGUGCCCACGGAGGUGGUGGAGUCACUGUUCCUGGAGGUUUUCAAGACGUAGAUGUCACACUGAGAGAUGUGGGUUAGUGGGCAUGGUGGUAGUGGACUGACAGUUGGACUGCAUGGUCUUAGUGGUCUUUUCCAACCUUCUAUGAUCCUGUGAUUGUUUCAACAGCACUUUGAGGUGAACCUCACGUACGUGAGAGGCUUUAGCAGUUAGUUGUCUGGGGUCCAUGUCUGCAGUGAAGGAAACGAGCAUUCUGCAGUGAGUUGAGGCAGAGUGUGAGACGAUUUUUGAAUUAAAAGAAAGCGUCGAUUUUAGAGUCACAGAGAAGCAUGAGUAACAGGGUCUGGGCAGUGGAUGCUCACAGCUUUGCAAGAGUACCCCAUACAAAACCAGACCUCAGUGUUGCCACCAUGCCAGGGGGCUUUUGCCAAUGCCAAGCUGCAAGGCGGGAGUGCGGCGUCUAGCAGACGGAUAUCUGUAAUCAGAAUUAGCAACAGAUAGUGCCCUGAUUGGCUGCCUCUGCAAAGAGGCUAACCCGGGAAGAAAUGGGAUUAAACUGCUCCCUCACCUCCAGGCAUCCCGGGGAUCACUGCUUCAUGUUUGAAGUAGUGCUCGCACUGAUGCUGCCCAUCUCCAGACAAGUUUUCAUGUAAAGAAAGGCUCCCUGGCACCGUCGCUCCUAUCUCUCUGCUUCCAAAUCUCAUGCUUUGGACUUGGUCUAAAUUACAGCAUGACAGCACUGUUAAGUUUCAGGGCUCCAUUCAGAGAACUUUCUGUUUCCCGCUCAGCUGGUGUGGCCAUCUGUCCAGCCAACACAACUCUAUCUCUUAGAGCACCACUUGUACUUUGGAAGAACUUCAGCUUUCCUUAAAAUCCUGAUGCUGACAGGGAGCAUUUGCACUGCUGUCAGGCAGAACUUACCGUAGGAGCUCAGUGCCCAGAAAGGCUCCUGCCUGUGGUAACUCUGAGCAGCAGAAAAAGUAGAAGAGUGAAUUCUAACAGAAUAGGAACAAAUAUUUUCUUUAAGGUGUCAGAUUAAUACAGAGCAUGCACUAUGCUUCACUUUUCAUUUUUCACUUUUACAACUGCUGCUGAGGCUGUUGGUUAGUCUCUGUGCAACGCGACAAUGAGCAACAAGACACCACAGAAGGGUGCAGCGUAUUGCAUGCAGACCCUUCCUUGGCCACCCAAGACGAUGCUGCAGAUCUUGGUCCUGCCAGCACGAUGCCGAUCUGCUUGAGCACAGCCAUAUAGGUAAAACAGAUUACGCUCAGUUUCUAAAUGCCUUCAGUGGCAUGGCAAACAGGGUUUCUUGUCAUUUGUGCUUCAGUGUGCAACUGAAGAGAGAACAACGUGAAGAAAGGCUACAGAAUAAGUCUGCAAAAUGCUUUCAGUUGAACAGAAAGAAACUGUUUACAUGGCUUCCGUAAGAGGACAGCCUCAAACCUUUUUUCUAGAAUAGAUACCAGUUAAUGUCACUGGAGUUAAGUGUUGGUAUUUAGAAAUUUUUCAAUAAAAACAAAGAAAUAAAGAUUGCCAUCUUAAAGCAAAUAGCCUUAUAUUGUAUCUAUUUAUCACCAUCUCAUCAAAAUUUACUGCUGGAAAUUAACAAGGCAGGAAAUUAAAAUAUCCAGAGCAGAUCCCACCUGUCUUCAUGCAGACAAAACUUCCUUUGAAAAAAAUACAAGUUUUUGGAAUGACGAUAGCACUGAGCCCCCACAGUUUGCCUCGUUAAGGUUUACAAGCCAUUUCCUUUACAAACAGUUCUGAGGCUGAGAUUUAAUGAGGUUUAUAUCUAAUAGUAAAAUUAGAAUGAAGAUUCAGUGAGUGUUGAGUGUCCCUCCCACACUCAAUGAUUUAACCUAGGGAAAAAUUUCACGUACUGAAAGAGAUUGCCAGUGUUGUUAAAAAGAAAAUCUGGUCAGGACAAAAGAGUAGGUUUCUAGAAGGAAAAGUAAAUAAAUCCAAUUACUUGCUUGGAUUGUUUAGCUAUUUGGAACUUCGGAUAGACGGGAAUGCUGAUUAUGUCUUAUUUUUACCUGCAGGAUGCCUGUGUACCCUUUUUGAAGUUCUGGGGGUGUUUCCCUCUUCCUCAGAUGAGCUCUUUGCAAAAAUCCUGCAAACAAGAGAAGAUGAGGCUGGUGAGAUACUCAAGGUAAUGUAAUGGAGGGAUAUAAGCGUCAUAAUCCAAAGCUCCACUGCAGGAAGCCACGUACUUAAGUCUUUUGGGACAAUUUCCUCAGAACUGUGAAAAACUACUGUUGCAGCAUGCUCCUGGCUAAGGAACAUAGAGAGUGGGAGAGCAAAACAUUUCUCCAAUUUGUAGCAGAGGGCUCCCCACUUACCUGUGAAAAGAUGUCACUCAGAUUUUCCACAUAUCUGUGGGUGCUUUCAGCCUUUCUAGCACUAAGUUUUGGCUCUGGGAUGUUCAGGAUAUGGCUUUACAGUUUGGAAGAGGUUCAGGUGGUAUUUAACUUCAAGCCAUGGGUACCAAGUGCUAGCCAAUUACCACAGACAUGUGCCAGUCUCCCCCUGCUGUAGUCCUGCGUCAGUAAACUGUAAGCAAUUUUGCCUAAUACAAACUGGGAGUCGGUCCCUGCUAUCUAAUGCAAUCCACUAGCGGAAAAGCACUGUCAGAAAAACAGAAACAGAAAUAUUUUUUCCAAGUAAAAAAAUUAAAGACAAAGUCUGAAAGUUUCGCUGCCAAAUGUAUUCGUUUCGAGUGUGUUUGUCUCAUGAACACUCCUGUGAGAAUUUGGAGCACUUUAGAGUAGAGCUUGCACCAUGGCAUGCUUCAGCACAGAGCCUGAGUUCCUGUUGUAAAGGUGAAUAUCGUUCUCAUUUUAUAGGCGCUGAAAUUGAAUUAGAGAGUAUUUAGAUGCAGCAGAGCAAUGCAUAAUGUGACUUUAAGCAUACAAAUGUCUUAUUUUGGAACUACUCAAAUGCUUUAAACAAGUCAUGGUUUAAAUGGCUUGUCCAAAACCAUACAGCCAGGAAGAUGAGGGAGAGGGUCCGGCUCCUUACUGAGUUCUUUAAAGAAAGUAUCCUAAAUAUAAAUAGCACAUCUCCAUCGAGGCUACAGGUGCUCAUAUUGAAGCUGUUUCUCUUUUUGGAAUGUAAUGAAUGCUGGCCAGCAAAUAUUGUAAAAGGUACUUUGUGACAUCGAAGUCAACACAGUAAUUAUAUUCAAUAUCCUGUGUUUUUGUCAGGCUUUCUUCUAGACAACUGAAUAUAAACUAGAGCACUGAUAAGCAAAGUAUUCUCCAGGAAGGAUACAAGACUACUUUAUUGCUUCACAUAACUUUUUUUUCAGUUUGCACUUACAUGGUAUCAAAGUAAUAUCACAUUGAAAACGUGACUGUGUGUGCAAGGAGUCGUGCUUCAGAGGAGGAGUUCUUUUCUCUUUCCUGUCUCUUCCAGAGAUAACUGGUCUUUCUGGCAUUAACUGGUGGUUUCACCGGAGCACGCAGCAUUGUGAUUAACCAGGGGCUUCAACUGAAAGGCAUGCAUGCAUUUUUGCAAUUUAAUGAUAAAGAUAUGUGUGCUUUGAAAACAUAUUAGAAACUUGUAGAAUGACUGUGGGGCUAUUAUUAUUUUCAUAUUGUGCCCUGCUAGCUUUCAUCACCUCUAACAGGAUCAUACUGUUUCUCAUCUUUGCAGAAAUGUGAUGUUCUUGAAGGAGAUUUCUUUUUCCUGGAAACAUUUAAGUUGUCAUGUUGCCAGGUUAAAAUAAAGACUCUUGUCUCAUCCAAAAGUUUCCUUCCUUCUUGGUGCUUUUGUAAUGCAGUUUCCACAAAUUGCAAACAUCAUGGGACUUGUCCCAAGAGAUGCUCAAGGAAAAACUGAAUGUUAUACAUGUAGCAUACCCCCUUACAAACCAUACCUCCCAUUUGAUCAUCAUUUAUGCAGUUCAAAAUGUCUUACUCUGUUGUUCCUCCUUCCUCAGCACCUUUUGGCAAGAAAAUACCCUUCCUUUUAUUUUCUAUGGAAGAAAUCAUAGACUCAUAGAAUGGCCUGGGUUGAAAAGGACCACAAAGAUCAUGUAGUUUCACCCCCCCUGCUAUGUGCAGGGUCUCCAACCACCAGACCAGGCUGCCCAGAGCCACAUCCAGCCUGGCCUUGAAUGCCUCCAGGGAUGGGGCAUCCGCAACCUCCUUGGGCAACCUGUUCCACUGCGUCACCACCCUCUGAGUGAAAAACUUCCUCCUAAUAUCCAACCUAAACCUCUUUGUGGUGCAUGGUUCGAUUGAUUGUUGUCUUGUACAGCUGUCUUCUGUAUGGGUAUAGUCUAUGAAAAUGAGGAGCUGUCACUGUUGAGAAAUAUAUUAUGGAUCUUUUUUGCCCUCUGUACUGAGCUAGUUGGAAAGUAAUACCACACUGAGAGUACAAUAUCUUCUUUCUGUGUUGUUCUCGUAAAAUACAUUCUCUUUACAGAUCCAAAAAAGUGUGCUUCUGAUUCAGUAAAGGAUGUAUAAGAAUCGCAUGGUUUUAUUUUCUCUUGAUGCAUUCUGUGAAUUUAGUGUGACUUCCUUUUUAUUGCUUCUUGAAUAUCCAGCAACAAGAAAGUCUUCAGCUUUCUCUGUAAGAAGGCAGCAUUGAGGGAUGAAAUUUUCACAGUCAAACUACUUCACAAACA